UAGGGAAGAACUAGUGGGGGCUUGGGACCCCAAGGAGGAAGGGAGAAGGUGGGUCCUGGUGGAACGGGGAUACACACAGUAGGUGCCUCAAAGGUGUGAAACCAUGUUCACUAGAUGAAAUCACUGGGGAAGGAACUGAGAGCAGAUGGGAGG